AUACGGAGGAUCCGAGCGUUAUCCGGAUUUAUUGGGUUUAAAGGGUGCGCAGGCGGCCAUUUAAGUCAGCGGUUAAAUCGUGGGGCUCAACCCCAUUCUGCCGUUGAUACUGGGUGGCUUGAUUGCGGUCGAGGUUGGCGGAAUUCGUUGUGUAGCGGUGAAAUGCAUAGAUAUGACGAAGAACACCGAUUGCGUAGGCAGCUGACCAGACCGCAAAUGACGCUCAUGCACGAAAGUGCGGGGAUCGAACAGGAUUAGAUACCCUGGUAGUGCGCACAGUAAACGAUGAAGACUUGUUUUCGGCGAUAUAAUGUCGGAGGCAAAGCGAACGCGAUAAGUGUUCCACCUGGGGAGUACGCCGGCAACCGUGAAACUCAAAGGAAUUGACGGGG
rnacentral:rRNA from 1 species